CCUACGGGUGGCAGCAGUGGGGAAUAUUGCGCAAUGGGCGAAAGCCUGACGCAGCGACGCCACGUGAGGGAUGAAGGUCUUCGGAUCGUAAACCUCUGUCAGCAGGGAAGAACGGUCACUGUGCUAAUCAGCAGUGACUUGACGGUACCUGCAAAGGAAGCACCGGCUAACUCCGUGCCAGCAGCCGCGGUAAUCCGGAGGGUGCGAGCGUUAAUCGGAAUUACUGGGCGUAAAUCGCUCGUAGGCGGUAUGUCAAGUCAAGGGUGAAAUCCCCGCGCUUAACGUGGGAACUGCCUUUGAAACUGGCCAACUGGAGGGUGUGAGAGGAUAGUGGAAGUCCAGGUGUAGGAGUGAAAUCCGUAGAUAUCUGGAGGAACAUCAGUGGCGAAGGCGACUAUCUGGCACAUAACUGACGCUGAGGAGCGAAAGCGUGGGUAGCAAACAGGAUUAGAUACCCUAGUAGUC
rnacentral:rRNA from 1 species